AAAGGAAUGGCUCAGUUGGUAGAGCGCGACCUUGCCGAGGUCGGGCUGGGCGGGUAGCUGCUGGGCGGGUAGCCUCGCGAGUUCGAGUCUCGUUUCCCGCUCCA
rnacentral:tRNA from 2 species